GUAGAGCUCACUUAGUGGUAGAUGGUUCAAGUUUACAUAGAUCUAACAUUCAUGGCAUUUUUUGACAAACUUGGCAUAAUUAGUCUCCAUAGUAAACCAGUAGUAACUCAACCUUAGAACUUCUCUGGCCAAAACCUUUCCAUUUAUAUGGGGACCACACAUUCCCGCAUGUACUUCUUCUAUUAUCAGCUCAGCCUAUUUCUCUGUCACACAAAAGAGUAAGA
rnacentral:misc_RNA from 1 species